CUGAGGGGGCGCUGCUACCCGCUCAGCGGAAAGGGAGGGAGGCGGGGGGGGCUCCUGGGGUGAGGGGCAGGCUAUAGGACCAAGGACCCGAGAGAAAUUCUGCUGGCAAAAAAGAGACAGCCUGCGAAGCGGAACGGAGCUGAGGGAAGUGACUUCUCUUCCGUAGAAGUGGUACAGAAAGGAAGCAUGACUAUGAAUGCUCUUCACACGUGCUAUUGCAUUCUCUGAAGAGAAGGCUCAGCCUGCUCCGUUCCUAUUUGCUCUUCUCCCAGGGUAACAAAAUGGCUAAAUGUUCAUAGCCUAAUCCCAGGAACCUGGUAGGGCAAAAGAGACUUUGCAGAUACCAUUAAAACAAAGGCCCUUACAAAAUUGUCCUGGAUUGUCUGGGGAGCCAACCUAAUCACAUGCUUCUUUAAAGCCACAGAAGCACUUCCAACUGUGUUCAUAGGAAGAUGUGACAACAACAGAAUGGUUAGAAGAGCACAAAGUGAGAAGGACCGGCCCCACUCUUGCUUGCUGUAAGGAUGGAGGAUGGGGCCAUGUGUCAAGGGAUGUGGGUAGCCUCUGGAAGAUGGAAAAGGCAAAGUAACUGAUUUCCCUGUGAAGUUUCCAGGAAGGAAUGCAGACGUGCUGAUGCCUGGAUGUUAGCCAAGGGACACUCAUGAAAUUGCUCUCAGAACGACCCGGGAGGGAGAAAGCAGUCACAGCAACCUACCCCCACCGCCUCUGAAGUCUGAAUGGCAAAGCCCAGCUACAGAAUGACUCCGGUUGGCCUCCGGUCACAGCUGAGACUUUGGUGAUCCAGUGGUGCUGUGA